rnacentral:rRNA from 1 species
GUUAGGAAUAUUGGACAAUGGGCGCAAGCCUGAUCCAGCCAUGCCGCGUGAGUGAUGAAGGCCUUCGGGUUGUAAAGCUCUUUAGCCGAUGAUUAUAAUGACUGUAGUCGGAAAAUAAGCCCCGGCUAACUUCGUGCCAGCAGCCGCGGUAAUACGAAGGGGGCGAGCGUUAUUCGGAAUCACUGGGCGUAAAGCGUGCGUAGGCGGCUUUGCAAGUUGGGAGUGAAAGCCAAGGGCUCAACCCUGGAAUUGCUCUCAAAACUGCAAGGCUCGAAUUCGGGAGAGGAUAGCGGAAUUGUCAGUGUAGCAGUGAAAUGCGUAGAUAUUGACAGGAACACCAGUGGCGUAAGCGGCUAUCUGGACCGAUAUUGACGCUGAGGCACGAAAGCGUGGGGAUCAAACAGGAUUAGAAACCCGUGUAGUCC